CAGGGACACAAGGAAUACUUGAGAAACCACAUUUUACCGAAUCCACGUACCUAUAUCAGUUCAAGAGGGUACACUUUUCCAAAGAAGACAGAGGUCCUUUUAACAAAGAUUACACCAUUGAAGGAUAAAGAGGAAGUUACUGAAGGAAAUGAUGCAAUGGAAGAGUGAAAAUCAUCAACAUCAUGGUUUAGAUUUUAACAACUUUAUUUUGUUCUUUGUGGCCUUUGUGAUGACAGUAUCUUUUGUAAUUUCCUAUUUCAAAACCUCAAUGAAUCCAUAUUGAAACGUUUUUGCUCCA